rnacentral:piRNA from 1 species
AAGGUACAGCUUGAAGGUUUGU